rnacentral:rRNA from 1 species
GAUGAACGCUGGCGGCGUGCCUAAUACAUGCAAGUCGAGCGAACGGACGAGAAGCUUGCUUCUCUGAUGUUAGCGGCGGACGGGUGAGUAACACGUGGAUAACCUACCUAUAAGACUGGGAUAACUUCGGGAAACCGGAGCUAAUACCGGAUAAUAUUUUGAACCGCAUGGUUCAAAAGUGAAAGACGGUCUUGCUGUCACUUAUAGAUGGAUCCGCGCUGCAUUAGCUAGUUGGUAAGGUAACGGCUUACCAAGGCAACGAUGCAUAGCCGACCUGAGAGGGUGAUCGGCCACACUGGAACUGAGACACAGUCCAGACUCCUACGGGAGGCAGCAGUAGGGAAUCUUCCGCAAUGGGCGAAAGCCUGACGGAGCAACGCCGCGUGAGUGAUGAAGGUCUUCGGAUCGUAAAACUCUGUUAUUAGGGAAGAACAUAUGUGUAAGUAACUGUGCACAUCUUGACGGUACCUAAUCAGAAAGCCACGGCUAACUACGUGCCAGCAGCCGCGGUAAUACGUAGGUGGCAAGCGUUAUCCGGAAUUAUUGGGCGUAAAGCGCGCGUAGGCGGUUUUUUAAGUCUGAUGUGAAAGCCCACGGCUCAACCGUGGAGGGUCAUUGGAAACUGGAAAACUUGAGUGCAGAAGAGGAAAGUGGAAUUCCAUGUGUAGCGGUGAAAUGCGCAGAGAUAUGGAGGAACACCAGUGGCGAAGGCGACUUUCUGGUCUGUAACUGACGCUGAUGUGCGAAAGCGUGGGGAUCAAACAGGAUUAGAUACCCUGGUAGUCCACGCCGUAAACGAUGAGUGCUAAGUGUUAGGGGGUUUCCGCCCCUUAGUGCUGCAGCUAACGCAUUAAGCACUCCGCCUGGGGAGUACGACCGCAAGGUUGAAACUCAAAGGAAUUGACGGGGACCCGCACAAGCGGUGGAGCAUGUGGUUUAAUUCGAAGCAACGCGAAGAACCUUACCAAAUCUUGACAUCCUUUGACAACUCUAGAGAUAGAGCCUUCCCCUUCGGGGGACAAAGUGACAGGUGGUGCAUGGUUGUCGUCAGCUCGUGUCGUGAGAUGUUGGGUUAAGUCCCGCAACGAGCGCAACCCUUAAGCUUAGUUGCCAUCAUUAAGUUGGGCACUCUAAGUUGACUGCCGGUGACAAACCGGAGGAAGGUGGGGAUGACGUCAAAUCAUCAUGCCCCUUAUGAUUUGGGCUACACACGUGCUACAAUGGACAAUACAAAGGGCAGCGAAACCGCGAGGUCAAGCAAAUCCCAUAAAGUUGUUCUCAGUUCGGAUUGUAGUCUGCAACUCGACUACAUGAAGCUGGAAUCGCUAGUAAUCGUAGAUCAGCAUGCUACGGUGAAUACGUUCCCGGGUCU